UACGAAGGGUGCAAACGUUGCUCGGAAUCAUUGGGCGUAAAGCGCACGUAGGCGGCUUCGCAAGUCGGAUGUGAAAUCCCUCGGCUCAACCAAGGACGUGCAUCCGAAACUGCAAAGCUUGAGUACAGAAGAGGAUCGCGGAAUUCCCGGUGUAGAGGUGAAAUUCGUAGAUAUCGGGAGGAACACCAGUGGCGAAGGCGGCGAUCUGGGCUGAUACUGACGCUGAGGUGCGAAAGCCAGGGUAGCGAACGGG
rnacentral:rRNA from 1 species